rnacentral:rRNA from 1 species
AGGACGAACGCUGGCGGCGUGCCUAACACAUGCAAGUCGAGCGGAAAGGCCUCCUUCGGGAGGUACUCGAGCGGCGAACGGGUGAGUAACACGUGGGCAACCAACCCCUCACAUCGGGAUACCCCGGGGAAACUCGGAUCAAUACCGGAUAAUGCGCGACGCUGUUGGGCGUCGCACCAAAGGUAGCUUCGGCCUCUGGUGAGGGACGGGCCCGCGGCCCAUUAGCUUGUUGGUGGGGUAAUGGCCUACCAAGGCAACGAUGGGUAGCUGGUCUGAGAGGAUGAUCAGCCACACUGGGACUGAGAUACGGCCCAGACUCCUACGGGAGGCAGCAGUGGGGAAUAUUGCGCAAUGGGCGGAAGCCUGACGCAGCAACGCCGCGUGCGGGAGGAAGGCCUUCGGGUCGUAAACCGCUUUCAGGGGGGACGAAGGCCACCAGGGGUUAAUAGGCCCAUGGGGUGACGGUACUCCCAGAAGAAGCCCCGGCUAACUACGUGCCAGCAGCCGC